rnacentral:rRNA from 1 species
ACGAUGAAGAGUUUGAUCCUGGCUCAGGAUGAACGCUAGCGGCAGGCUUAACACAUGCAAGUCGAGGGGUAACGGGGAAGCUUGCUUCCGCCGACGACCGGCGCACGGGUGCGUAACGCGUAUACAAUCUACCUUGUACUGGGGUAUAGCCUUUAGAAAUGAAGAUUAAUCCCCCAUAGUCUCUUAGAGUGGCAUCACUUCUAGAGUAAAGGUUACGGUAUAAGAUGAGUAUGCGUUCUAUUAGUUUGUUGGUGUGGUAACGGCACACCAAGACUACGAUAGAUAGGGGCCCUGAGAGGGGGAUCCCCCACACUGGUACUGAGACACGGACCAGACUCCUACGGGAGGCAGCAGUGAGGAAUAUUGGACAAUGGAGGCAACUCUGAUCCAGCCAUGCCGCGUGCAGGAAGACUGCCCUAUGGGUUGUAAACUGCUUUUAUACAGGAAGAAACACCUCUACGUGUAGAGGCUUGACGGUACUGUAAGAAUAAGGAUCGGCUAACUCCGUGCCAGCAGCCGCGGUAAUACGGAGGAUCCAAGCGUUAUCCGGAAUCAUUGGGUUUAAAGGGUCCGUAGGUGGAUAAUUAAGUCAGAGGUGAAAUCUUGCAGCUCAACUGUAAAAUUGCCUUUGAAACUGGUUAUCUUGAGUUAUUAUGAAGUAGUUAGAAUAUGUAGUGUAGCGGUGAAAUGCAUAGAUAUUACAUAGAAUACCAAUUGCGAAGGCAGAUUACUAAUAAUCAACUGACACUGAUGGACGAAAGCGUGGGUAGCGAACAGGAUUAGAUACCCUGGUAGUCCACGCCGUAAACGAUGGUUACUAGCUGUUUGGACUUCGGUCUGAGUGGCUAAGCGAAAGUGAUAAGUAACCCACCUGGGGAGUACGUUCGCAAGAAUGAAACUCAAAGGAAUUGACGGGGGCCCGCACAAGCGGUGGAGCAUGUGGUUUAAUUCGAUGAUACGCGAGGAACCUUACCAGGGCUUAAAUGUAAGUUGCAUUAGUUAGAGAUAGCUAUUUCUUCGGACCACUUACAAGGUGCUGCAUGGUUGUCGUCAGCUCGUGCCGUGAGGUGUCAGGUUAAGUCCUAUAACGAGCGCAACCCCUGUUGUUAGUUGCCAGCGAGUCAUGUCGGGAACUCUAACAAGACUGCCAGUGCAAACUGUGAGGAAGGUGGGGAUGACGUCAAAUCAUCACGGCCCUUACGUCCUGGGCUACACACGUGCUACAAUGGUAGGUACAGAGAGCAGCCACUGCGCGAGCAGGAGCGAAUCUAUAAAACCUAUCACAGUUCGGAUCGGAGUCUGCAACUCGACUCCGUGAAGCUGGAAUCGCUAGUAAUCGGAUAUCAGCCAUGAUCCGGUGAAUACGUUCCCGGGCCUUGUACACACCGCCCGUCAAGCCAUGGAAGUUGGAAGUGCCUGAAGUCCGUCACCGCAAGGAGCGGCCUAGGGUAAAGUCGAUAACUAGGGCUAAGUCGUAACAAGGUAGCCGUACCGGAAGGUGCGGCUGGAACACCUCCUUU